rnacentral:ncRNA from 1 species
CGGGAUCCGUCCCGUUGGAAUGUGGCUGCAAAAACAGUAGCUGAACCGUGAA